rnacentral:rRNA from 1 species
AUUGAACGCUGGCGGCAGGCCUAACACAUGCAAGUCGAGCGACCGGCGGACGGGUGAGUAAUGUAUGUGGACUGCCCGAUGGAGGUGGAUAACUACUGGAAGCGCUAGCUCAUCCCGCAUCCAGUUGAACUACCCAUAUGUGAUUAGCUAGUAGGUGGGGUAAUGGCUCACCUAGGGGACGAUCCCUAGCUGGUCUGAGAGGAUGAUCAGCCACACUGGGACUGAGACACGGCCCAGACUCCUACGGAGGCAGCAGUGGGGAAUAUUGCACAAUGGGCGCAAGCCUGAUGCAGCCAUGCCGCGUGUAUGAAGAAGGCCCUAGGGUUGUAAAGUACUUUCAGUCGGGAGGCGUUACCGACAGAAGAAGCACCGGCUAACUCCGUGCCAGCAGCCGCGGUAAUUC